ACCAUGGACGAAGCAGGCAGCUGUGCGAGCGGCGGAGGCUUCCGCCCGGGCGUGGACAGCCUGGACGAGCCGCCCAACAGCCGCAUCUUCCUGGUGAUCAGCAAGUACACGCCCGAGUCGGUCCUGCGGGAGCGCUUCUCCCCCUUCGGCGAGAUCCAGGAUAUCUGGGUGGUGCGGGACAAGCACACGAAAGAGUCAAAGGGCAUCGCCUUCAUCAAGUUCGCACGCAGCUCGCAGGCCUGUAGGGCCAUGGAGGAGAUGCAUGGCCGGUGCCUCGGCCCCUAUGAUACCAAGCCCAUCAAGGUUUUAAUUGCUCAGUCCAGAUCAUCUGGAAAUCACCGAGAUGUAGAAGAUGAAGAACUUACAAGAAUAUUUGUUAUGAUACCAAAGUCCUACACAGAAGAAGAUCUACGGGAAAAAUUUAAGGUGUAUGGAGAUAUCGAGUAUUGCAGCAUUAUUAAGAAUAAAAUGACUGGAGAAAGUAAAGGUUUGGGCUAUGUUCGAUACUUAAAACCAUCACAAGCUGCCCAAGCAAUAGAAAACUGUGAUCGAAGUUUUAGGGCAAUCUUGGCUGAACCCAAAAAUAAAGCAUCUGAAUCCUCAGAACAAGAUUAUUAUAGUAAUAUGAGGCAGGAGACUUUGGGACAUGAACCUAGAAUAAAUAUAUUUCCAUUUGGAGAGCAACAACCUGAAUUUUCAAAUUUUGACAAGAAUGACAACAGAGGCCAAGAAGCUAUCUCCAAACGCCUGUCUGUUGUAUCAAGAGUUCCUUUCACUGAAGAGCAGCUUUUCAGCAUUUUUGAUAUAGUACCAGGAUUGGAAUAUUGUGAAGUUCAACGAGAUCCUUAUUCAAACUAUGGUCAUGGAGUGGUUCAGUAUUUCAAUGUAGCAUCAGCUAUUUAUGCAAAAUACAAGUUACAUGGAUUUCAGUACCCUCCUGGAAAUCGGAUAGGUGUUUCUUUCAUUGAUGAUGGGAAUAAUGCCACAGAUCUCCUUAGAAAAAUGGCAACACAGAUGGUAGCUGCACAGCUUGCAUCAGUGGUGUGGAAUAACCCAAGUCAGCAGCAAUUUCUGCAGCAAUUUGGAGGAAGUUCUGGAUCACAGUUGCCUCAAAUCCAGACAGAUGUUGUACUUCCAUCAUGCAAAAAAAAAGCCCCUCCUGAAACUUCUGUGAAAGAAAGACUGUUUAUCGUGUUUAACCCUCAUCCUUUACCUUUAGAUGUAUUAGAGGAUAUAUUCUGUCGUUUUGGUAACCUGAUCGAAGUUUACCUUGUGUCAGGAAAAAAUGUGGGGUAUGCGAAGUAUGCAGAUAGAAUAAGUGCUAAUGAUGCGAUUAGUACUUUACAUGGAAAGAUCCUGAAUGGAGUCAGACUUAAAGUUAUGCUGGCAGAUUCCCCACGUGAAGAAUCUAAUAAACGACAAAGAACUUACUGAUUCUUGAGCAUUUUCCCUCCAGAAAUUCAGUAUGUGCUUGCAUCAUCCUUCCAGAAACAGUAACUCAAGAACACAUGGAUCCUGGGACCUGAAGAUGUUCCCAAACAAGACAGCAGAAAAUUAAACAGUAAAUAGUUUUAACAGAAGGAACCUCAGUCUAUAAAAAGGCUCAUGUCUGAAGAUCCUCUUCACAUUGGAUGUGGGCUGGAAUGGAGCAGUGUCCACAGCAUUGUGUAGUCAGGAUUUCUCUACUCAUCCAAACGUGAAAGUAACAAACGUUCUGUGAUAUGCAACGCGCUGCUCAUUUGCUCUAUAGAAAGGAGUUACUUGAAUAUAAUCACUACACUACCAAAAUGAAUCAAAAUUAAGAAUAAAAGGAAAGAAAGGCCAGUCGGUGAGUAUUGAAAUCAGUGAAGUUCCAAGAAGGAAUGGCAGUUUCUUUAUGGAGGGGGGUGCAAUGUGUAUUUUUUUACUUUGCAAAUUAAAUGUAAGUUUAAGAAUCUUGAAAUCUGUUAAUAUGGUUAAUAAUAAAAAUUAAUAACACUGUC